GCCAGCUGUCUCACCAACAGAAAUUCUCCGUCAGAGCCACAGGGUCCCUUCAGGUAACCAACAGGAAAGGGGAACGUGUGCGUUUGGUCAAGGUAAAUGUACUUUACCGGCACAGUGCCAUCUGGAUUCACAGUGAUAUUCACAAAGGUCUGGAGCUCCAAAAUGUCAUCAGAAACACCAUGAAAACAUCAUGUAGUCCAUAUAACUCCGGUUCUCCUGGCAGCAUGAAAAAUUAACCAUCGCAACAUUUAGUUGUGCUAUUGCGUCAUCACACUAUCUACAAUUUCUCGAAAUAUAAUGAGAUGUCGGUUUCUCAGCAUCCCGUGACCCACACUGAGUCCACUUGCUGGAAACAGAGAUGCUUCCCCCCCUUUGAUCUUCCAUAUGGCUGUUGACCUGAAAAACACAUCCCUGAGGCAACAUGUGAUGUGAUCUUGGGUUGACCAUUAUGAGAUCUGGCUGGGGAGAAGGCCAGCAUACAUCAGAUGGUGAUUGUGCGGGAGAGGUUACAAAUUGUGAUACAAUGUCUCCUUUUUAACCACAAUGCUGGUAGAAAGGUUAUACAGUGGAAAGAAAGAAGUCGGUCCUCUCAUACCUGACAAGUUAAAAGGUUAACGCUCAUGUAUUUCAUGAAUGCGAUUAAUUCAGUUUCACUUCAUCUCAAUGGGAGACCCGUGUGGUUUUGCAUAUUUUGAGUUCAUUAUAGGGACAUUACAGACAGGGCUUGAUUUUGGCUGAUCCGUGGCUGUAUUCGGGAAGUGGGGGCCUUUUGUUCCUCAAAUGUCAAACACUUAACAUGUGAGCACUUCAACCACGCUUGUUUAGGCAGAGAUCGGGUCUCACAGAAUAAUACAAAGAGACAGAGGUCAGACAAGAUCAGACAGAGUGGAGGCUGCCUAACAGAAUCACUAAAUGACUGCAGGAUAUAAUUUGGUAAAAGAGUGAAUUAAUGGGACCUUCCUGUUGGUUGUCUUCGUUAGAAUUUUUUCUAGCUAUUUAAAGGGAUAGUUUAUGCAAACAUGAAAUGAUCUUAUUUACCCUCAUGUUUUUAAAAAGCUGUAUAAGGGACUUUCUGCUGUGAAACACGAAAGAAGAUAUUUGGAGAAAUGUCUUUGUAGUAUUGUGUCUUCUGUGUUUGAAACGACAUGGGUUUCAGUAAAUGAUGAAAGAAUUAAAUUUGUUUGUAAACUAUAACUGUAAUAUUUGGAAAAAGAUAUGUUGCCUAUUUCCAUCUGAAUGAAACAAAGUCCGAAAUACUCUUCGAAUAUAUUGCUUAAAAAAUUAGAAAGAAAAAUUGCUUGUACACUUUGGGUACCCGAUAAACAACAUAUAGUGUUUAUGCUGCCCCACACACAAUCCUUUGCCAGAAGCUAAUGUUUUACACGAGAUUAUUACCCAACCUUCCUUUGCAAAUUGUUUCACUAAAUGGAAAUAUGUAUAUUAUUUUUGCACAUCAUAUAAAAACACAGUCUAGCUAAUGGUUUUCUGUUGACAUAUCAUCGUAGGUACUGCAAUGAUUUUUACACUUCAUGUGAAGAUCAACCACAAGGCAGCCCUUACAAAAACAAUGACAGAUGUAUCCAAGAGGACGCAUGUAGAGUAAGAGCUAAAUAUUUUGCGUCAGUGAUAGUGUGAGGUUUAAUGUAGUAUUACAAAGAGUUAUAUUGAGGUGUACCGUUGGGAGUGUAUUGUUAUUCUCAUCUCGGUGGUACCCGGUGUUAUAAUUUCAUGCAUGAUCGCACACACACACGCUGAUGCUUGGCCAAGUAGCCUUGUCUUGUCAGCAGCUGCAGUGUACUUCUAACACAUCUGUUGAGACAAAAUAUAUAUAAUAUUGGGACAAAUUUGUGAGAUCUUGUCACUUGUGUAAUGUAAUGUAAAAUGUAUAGUGUUUUUCUUUAAAGUUAUAAAUG